AGCUUUGUGCACUGACAAUAUAGCCAGUCAGGUUUAUCUGAGGCACGAUAAUUGCUAAUUGAAAACUUUUCCCACGCUGGGAGGCAAAGGGCAUUUAUAGCGCUCUAGAUAAAGA
rnacentral:snRNA from 1 species